rnacentral:RNase_P_RNA from 1 species
CCCGCAGACCGAGACAAUCGCGGGCGCCAUCGGGCGAAAGUCCGGCGCAUGAGGAAAGUCCGGGCUCCACAGGACAGGAUGCCGGGUAACUCCCGGUGAAGGCAACUUUAAGGAAAGUGCAACAGAAAAGAAAACCGCCCGCAAGGGUAAGGAUGAAAAGGCGAGGUAAGAGCUCACC